CCUACGGGAGGCAGCAGUGAGGAAUAUUGGUCAAUGGACGAGAGUCUGAACCAGCCAAGUAGCGUGAAGGAUGACUGCUCUAUGGGUUGUAAACUUCUUUUAUAUGGGAAUAAAACGUUCCACGUGUGGGAUUUUGUAUGUACCAUCUGAAUAAGGAUAGGCUAACUCCGUGCCAGCAGCCGCGGUAAUACGGAGGGUCCGAGCGUUAUCCGGAUUUUAUGGGUUUAAAGGGAGCGUAGGUGGAUUGUUAAGUCAGUUGUGAAAGUUUGCGGCUCAACCGUAAAAUUGCAGUUGAAACUGGCAGUCUUGAGUACAGUAGAGGUAGGCGGAAUUCGUGGUGUAGCGGUGAAAUGCUUAGAUAUCACGAAGAACUCCGAUUGCGAAGGCAGCUCACUGGACUGCAACUGACACUGAGGCUCGAAAGUGUGGGUAUCAAACAGGAUUAGAUACCCUAGUAGUC
rnacentral:rRNA from 1 species